GAUGAACGCUGGCGGCGUGCCUAAUACAUGCAAGUAGAACGCUGAAGCUUGGUGCUUGCACCGAGCGGAUGAGUUGCGAACGGGUGAGUAACGCGUAGGUAACCUGCCUGGUAGCGGGGGAUAACUAUUGGAAACGAUAGCUAAUACCGCAUAACAGUCGACAUUGCAUGAUGUUGAUUUGAAAGGGGCAAUUGCUCCACUACCAGAUGGACCUGCGUUGUAUUAGCUAGUUGGUGAGGUAACGGCUCACCAAGGCGACGAUACAUAGCCGACCUGAGAGGGUGAUCGGCCACACUGGGACUGAGACACGGCCCAGACUCCUACGGGAGGCAGCAGUAGGGAAUCUUCGGCAAUGGACGGAAGUCUGACCGAGCAACGCCGCGUGAGUGAAGAAGGUUUUCGGAUCGUAAAGCUCUGUUGUAAGAGAAGAACGAGUGUGAGAGUGGAAAGUUCACACUGUGACGGAACUACCA
rnacentral:rRNA from 1 species